UACGUAGGUGGCAAGCGUUGUUCGGAAUUACUGGGCGUAAAGCGCGUGUAGGCGGCUCUUCAAGUCAGACGUGAAAGCCCCGGGCUCAACCUGGGAAUUGCGCGCGAAACGGGAGGGCUUGAGUUCGGGAGAGGAGCGUGGAAUUCCCAGUGUAGAGGUGAAAUUCGUAGAUAUUGGGAAGAACACCGGUGGCGAAGGCGGCGCUCUGGACCGAGACUGACGCUGAGACGCGAAAGCGUGGGGAGCGAACAGG
rnacentral:rRNA from 1 species